GGCAGUGCCUAGCGUGCCGUGAGGGUCUGUUGGGAACAACUGGCAGAACACUCUGUCAACGAGGUCUUCAACUCCCACCUCCAGGAGAGCUUCUCCCAGAUCCCGUGGGAGGUUGAAGACAUGGAGUCUGAGUGGACCAUGUUCUCCACCUCAAGUGUCGAUGCAGCCACUCGCA